AGAAUCAACGCUGGCGGCGUGCCUAACACAUGCAAGUCGAACGAGAAAGUGGAGCAAUCCAUGAGUAAAGUGGCGACCGGGUGAGUAACACGUGACUAACCUACCUUCGAGUGGGGGAUAACCUCGGGAAACCGGGGCUAAUACCGCAUAAUAUCCACGGAUCAAAGGAGCAAUUCGCUUGAAGAGGGGGUCGCGGCUGAUUAGUUAGUUGGCGGGGUAAUGGCCCCACCAAGACAAUGAUCGGUAGCCGGCCUGAGAGGGCGCACGGCCACACUGGAACUGAAACACGGUCCAGACUCCUACGGGAGGCAGCAGUGGGAAUUUUGCGCAAUGGGGGAAACCCUGACGCAGCAACGCCGCGUGGAGGAUGAAGUCCCUUGGGACGUAAACUCCUUUCGACUGGGAAGAUAAUGACGGUACCAGUGGAAGAAGCCCCGGCUAACUUCGUGCCAGCAGCCGC
rnacentral:rRNA from 1 species